UUGGAAACUCAGUCACCAGCUCUGCAUGAUGUUGCAGAAGCAAGGGAAGCAGAUUUGCUAAAAUUAACAUGGACAUAGAACCCUUAGAAAUCAAAUUAUUUGGGCUGUUGUUCUAUGCUAUGAUAAGG